CCCUUAGAUGUUCUGGGCCGCACGCGCGCUACACUGAUGCACUCAACGAGUCUAAAACCUGCUCUGAUAGGGGUGGGUAAUCUUUUGAAUGUGCAUCGUGAUUGGGAUAGAUGAUUGCAAUUUUUCAUCUUCAACGAGGAAUGCCUAGUAAACGCAAGUCAUCAGCUUGCAUUGAUUACGUCCCUGCCCUUUGUACACACCGCCCGUCGCUCCUACCGAUUGAAUGAUCCGAUGAAUAUCAUGGAUUGAGGAUUAUAGCAGGUUCGCCUGUCUUGAUCUUCGAGAAGUGAAGUAAAUCUUAUCAUUUAGAGGAAGGAGAAGUCGUAACA
rnacentral:rRNA from 1 species